GGCCUACCAUGGUGAUGACGGGUAACGGGGAAUAAGGGUUCGAUUCCGGAGAGAGGGCCUGAGAAACGGCCCUCAGGUCUAAGGACACGCAGCAGGCGCGCAAAUUAUCCCCUGGCAACACUUUGCCGAGAUAGUGACAAUAAAUAACAAUGCAGGGCUCUUACGGGUCUUGCAAUUGGAAUGAGUACAAUUUAAAUCCCUUAACGAGGAACAAUUGGAGGGCAAGUCUGGUGCCAGCAGCCGCGGUAAUUCCAGCUCCAAUAGCGUAUAUUAAAGUUGUUGCAGUUAAAAAGCUCGUAGUUGAAUUUCGGGAUCGACGGGUCGGUCGCGCCUCUGGUGUGUACUGGCCCUGUCGGUUUCUCCCUUCUGACGAACCACGAUGUCAUUAAUUUGGUGUCGUGGGAAAUCAGGACUGUUACUUUGAAAAAAUUAGAGUGUUUAAAGCAGGCAUUCGCUUGAAUACAUUAGCAUGGAAUAAUGAAAUAGGACGUUUGAUCUUAUUUUGUUGGUUUCUAGGAUUGACGUAAUGAUUAAUAGGGAUAGUUGGGGGCAUUAGUAUUCAAUUGUCAGAGGUGAAAUUCUUGGAUUUAUUGAAGACUAACUACUGCGAAAGCAUUUGCCAAGGAUGUUUUCAUUAAUCAAGAACGAAAGUUAGGGGAUCGAAGACGAUCAGAUACCGUCGUAGUCUUAACCAUAAACUAUGCCGACUAGGGAUCGGAUGAUGUUAAUUUUUUAAUGACUCAUUCGGCGCCUUACG
rnacentral:rRNA from 1 species